GUUGUAUGGUUAAGUGACUAAGCGUACACGGUGGAUGCCUUGGCAGUCAGAGGCGAUGAGAGACGUCGUCAUUUGCGAUAAGCCCAGAUUAUGUAGUAACAACCAUUUGAGUCUGGGCUUUCUGAAUGGGGAAACCCACGUGCAUCAGCACGUAUCCUCCCCUGAAUACAUAGGGUAAGGAGGCGAACCGGGGGAACUGAAACAUCUAAGUACCCCGAGGAAAAGAAAUCAACCGAGAUUCCGAAAGUAGCGGCGAGCGAAAUUGGACUAGCCCUUAAGCUUUACACGCGUUAGACGAACGGUCUGGAAAGUCCGACGAUACAGGGUGAUAGUCCCGUAGUUGACGACGUGUGUUCAGUGAAAUCGAGUAGGGCGGGACACGUGAUAUCCUGUCUGAAUAUGGGGGGACCAUCCUCCAAGGCUAAAUACUACUGACUGACCGAUAGUGAACCAGUACCGGGAGGGAAAGGCGAAAAGAACCCCUGUGAGGGGAGUGAAAUAGAACCUGAAACCGUGUACGUACAAGCAGUAGGAGCAGGCUU
rnacentral:rRNA from 1 species